rnacentral:rRNA from 1 species
GAAGGUGGCCUGUGAGGGUUGCUGGAGGUAUCAGAAGUGCGAAUGCUGACAUAAGUAACGAUAAAGCGGGUGAAAAGCCCGCUCGCCGGAAGACCAAGGGUUCCUGUCCAACGUUAAUCGGGGCAGGGUGAGUCGACCCCUAAGGCGAGGCCGAAAGGCGUAGUCGAUGGGAAACGGGUUAAUAUUCCCGUACUUGGUGUUACUGCGAAGGGGGGACGGAGAAGGCUAUGUUGGCCGGGCGACGGUUGUCCCGGUUUAAGCGUGUAGGUGUGUGUUCCAGGUAAAUCCGGUUCACUUUAACACUGAGGCGUGAUGACGAGGCACUACGGUGCUGAAGCAACAAAUGCCCUGCUUCCAGGAAAAGCCUCUAAGCAUCAGGUAACAUCAAAUCGUACCCCAAACCGACACAGGUGGUCAGGUAGAGAAUACCAAGGCGCUUGAGAGAACUCGGGUGAAGGAACUAGGCAAAAUGGUGCCGUAACUUCGGGAGAAGGCACGCUGACAUGUAGGUGAAGUGAUUUACUCAUGGAGCUGAAGUCAGUCGAAGAUACCAGCUGGCUGCAACUGUUUAUUAAAAACACAGCACUGUGCAAACACGAAAGUGGACGUAUACGGUGUGACGCCUGCCCGGUGCCGGAAGGUUAAUUGAUGGGGUCAGCGCAAGCGAAGCUCCUGAUCGAAGCCCCGGUAAACGGCGGCCGUAACUAUAACGGUCCUAAGGUAGCGAAAUUCCUUGUCGGGUAAGUUCCGACCUGCACGAAUGGCGUAAUGAUGGCCAGGCUGUCUCCACCCGAGACUCAGUGAAAUUGAACUCGCUGUGAAGAUGCAGUGUACCCGCGGCAAGACGGAAAGACCCCGUGAACCUUUACUAUAGCUUGACACUGAACAUUGAGCCUUGAUGUGUAGGAUAGGUGGGAGGCUUUGAAGUGUGGACGCCAGUCUGCAUGGAGCCGACCUUGAAAUACCACCCUUUAAUGUUUGAUGUUCUAACGUGGACCCGUAAUCCGGGUUGCGGACAGUGUCUGGUGGGUAGUUUGACUGGGGCGGUCUCCUCCUAAAGAGUAACGGAGGAGCACGAAGGUUGGCUAAUCCUGGUCGGACAUCAGGAGGUUAGUGCAAUGGCAUAAGCCAGCUUGACUGCGAGCGUGACGGCGCGAGCAGGUGCGAAAGCAGGUCAUAGUGAUCCGGUGGUUCUGAAUGGAAGGGCCAUCGCUCAACGGAUAAAAGGUACUCCGGGGAUAACAGGCUGAUACCGCCCAAGAGUUCAUAUCGACGGCGGUGUUUGGCACCUCGAUGUCGGCUCAUCACAUCCUGGGGCUGAAGUAGGUCCCAAGGGUAUGGCUGUUCGCCAUUUAAAGUGGUACGCGAGCUGGGUUUAGAACGUCGUGAGACAGUUCGGUCCCUAUCUGCCGUGGGCGCUGGAGAACUGAGGGGGGCUGCUCCUAGUACGAGAGGACCGGAGUGGACGCAUCACUGGUGUUCGGGUUGUCAUGCCAAUGGCACUGCCCGGUAGCUAAAUGCGGAAGAGAUAAGUGCUGAAAGCAUCUAAGCACGAAACUUGCCCCGAGAUGAGUUCUCCCUGAGACUUUAGGUCUCCUGAAGGAACGUUGAAGACGACGACGUUGAUAGGCCGGGUGUGUAAGCGCAGCGAUGCGUUGAGCUAACCGGUACUAAUGAACCGUGAGGCUUAACCUUACAACGCCGAAG